rnacentral:rRNA from 1 species
UGGGGAAUCUUGCACAAUGGGGGCAACCCUGAUGCAGCGACGCCGCGUGAGCGAUGAAGCCCUUCGGGGCGUAAAGCUCUUUCGACCGGAACGAUAAUGACGGUACCGGGAGAAGAAGCUGCGGCUAACUACGUGCCAGCAGCCGCGGUAAUACGUAGGCAGCAAGCGUUGUUCGGAGUUACUGGGCGUACAGAGUGCGUAGGCGGUUUUCUAAGUUCGGUGUGAAAUCUCCCGGCUUAACUGGGAGGGUGCGCCGAAGACUGGGAAGCUGGAGUGUGGGAAAGGCAGGCGGAAUUCCUGGUGUAGCGGUGAAAUGCGUAGAUAUCAGGAGGAACACCGGCGGUGUAGACGGCUUGCUAGACCAUAACUGACGCUGAGGCACGAAAGCGUGGGUAGCAAACA